GCCGCUAUCGCCGCUACGUCAUUUCCUGCGUCUCGCGGCGGGCCGCCGGGAGCACAUGUGUGUGUUCUCCGUGACAUUCUUGAAGUUGUGAGUAAUUAGAUUGUUUUUUGCUGCGUUUAGGUUGUACCACCUCGUUGUUUUCGUGUACUUUUGUGCUCAUCGACGCGAAGUGAGCGUCCGGAGUGAAGGCGACGCGAUUAUGCGUGAGAAAGAAGGGCACCAGCGGCCGACAUCGGUGUUUCUUUGUGACAGUGUGUUUACUACGCCUACGACGGCCGUCAUUCGUGGCGAAGGAGAAAACAUCUUCCAUUCGGCCUGAACAGUGAUGAAGUGGACGUUUUGUUUUUCGGCGGAAUGCAUCGUCAACAUGGUCUAUCCACUACGUAAACGAAACGGCGUGCCCAGAGUACAGAUCGUGACAGCGCUCCGCCUUCAAACCGAGGGCCUUUUGCAAGGCGCAUGAACUGCUCAUAUAAAAGUUGCAGUCAGCAUGAAGCAAUUGCAGUCAGCAUGAAGCAAUUGCAUGGGAACCGACUGGCUGUCUUGGGCCUACACGUUGCUGAAAAGACAGUGAAGACGUCUGACUCGACAGGUAGAAAAGAAGCAGAUGGCUACAGUGAUCAAUGAAUAAAUGGCUUCAUCUAUGAUGGCUCGCCUUAGGACAUUGGAAUGGAGCUACAAAAAGGCAUCAUCAUCCUCGCCUGUGCCCUGGAACUUUAGUUUGAAUGAGACUGUUCUUCAAUGUAGAACGGCCGGAAGACUUGUCACCACAAGGCAUAGUGCAAGCUCAAAAUAUUGUACAGGAGGCUAGAAUAAAUGACCCUCCAUGCAGUCACUCUGUAUCUGUG